rnacentral:lncRNA from 1 species
CCCAGAUUUUAUCACCUUACCAACAGUAUGCUAAGUGAAAUCAUAAAGGAUUGAAACUUUAAGGACUUAGGAGUGUUUGGUGAUUAAGAAAUAUUAACGUGGCUUAAAUGGCCUUUUCAUUGUCUCCAACUAUUGCUGAGUAGGAAAACUAGGGGGAGUCAUUCAGUUUAAAGUAGGAAAGAAUUCUAAGACAUUUUAAAAAUAGUCCUAGGGUGACAUGAUUGUAGGAAGGCUGACUGAUUUCUGUCAUCCCACCCUCUCUGCUCCUUUUCACUGCUUUCUCAUCUACACCCUCUUCCCCCCUACACUUCCUGAAGGUGAGGCAUAUUUUAUCCUUUGCAAAUACAGCUCUCCCUCAGGAGAGAAACAAGGCAGACCCAUUGCACUCUCCCAGGGACCCGUUGGAACAGACAACUAGUCCAACAGAUAAGAAUCAGUAGUAGUUAACUAGGGGUAUGUCUAUGUUCAUUUUUUGGUCCCUUCCAAGUCCAUUAUAACAAGGGCUUCCUUAAAGCUAAACCUUAGUCGUAAAAUUGUAUUCUAGUGGUGAAAUUCCAGAUGCCAGCGCCAAUAUUCCAGGUGCUGGGGGAUAUUGGGAGCGUUACACUAGAUGGCUAACUACUAAAAACAAACAAAAACAUUUACCUUCAUGUCAGGCAUAAAUAGUAAAAUAGAAAAGGCUUGUUUGGACCAUCUGUCCCUACAGAUAUGAGAUCAACCUCCCCAUGUGGUUUGGGAACAGAUUCUGCUGGAUAUGUACCAUCCAAAGCUUGUGACGCUUUCUCAGCUCAGUGACUGAAAGAUUCCAAGUCUACCUUUUUGAACAGUAAGCAAUGAAUCAUGCAGAAACUGUUGAAAUACUUUCUCAAUAGAGGCAGUAAAAAGAACAUUAGAUCCAAGGUCAAUAAAUCUGGUUUGAGUCUUGUCUUUGCCACAUGAAAUCUAAUGUACUUUUCAUUACUGAAUUUUGGGAGUCUUACUUUCCUUCAUAAACAUGCAUUUCUAAAGUGAUCUUAAAAAAAAAAUUAAAAAAACCCGCCUCACCUGUUGUGAGAGACACAGUAAAGAAUGAAGAUAACAACUACAAUAUCAUUAUUCUCAAAUUUACCCACUCUUUCUGCCCCUACCACUCCCUCUCUGCUACGAGGCUUUAUAGAACCGAUAGUAAUAAGUAGGGCUUCCCUUGUAGCUCAGUCAGUAAAGAAUUUGCCUGCAGUACAGGAGACC